UGGCCCCUAGUGUAAUGGUAGCACGACAGAUUCUGGUUCUGUUUGUCGGGGUUCGAAUCCCUGGGGGCCAG
rnacentral:tRNA from 2 species